rnacentral:rRNA from 1 species
GAUGAACGCUGGCGGCGUGCCUAAUACAUGCAAGUCGAGCGAACGGGGACGGGUGAGUAACACGUGGGUAACAUCCUAUAGGACGGGGAGGACAUCGGGAAAACGGGGCUGAAACGGAGACUUAUAGCUGGAUCCGCGCUGGAUGAGCUAGUUGGUAAGGUAACGGCUUAACAAGGCAACGAUGCAUAGCUGACCUGAGAGGGUGAUCGGCCACACUGGAACGGAGACACGGUCCAGAAUCCUACGGGAGGCAGCAGUAGGGAAUCUUGCGCAAUGGGCGAAAGCCUGACGGAGCAAUGCCGCGUGAGUGAAGAAGGUCUUCGGAUCGUAAAACUCUGUUAGUAGGGAAGCGGUACCUGAACAGAAAGCCACGGCUAACUACGUGCCAGCAGCCGCGGUAAUAC